CCUACGGGAGGCAGCAGUGGGGAAUAUUGGACAAUGGGCGAAAGCCUGAUCCAGCCAUGCCGCGUGUGUGAAGAAGGCCUUCGGGUUGUAAAGCACUUUCAGUGGGGAAGAAAGCCUUGGGGCUAAUACCCUCGAGGAAGGACAUCACCCACAGAAGAAGCACCGGCUAACUCCGUGCCAGCAGCCGCGGUAAUACGGAGGGUGCGAGCGUUAAUCGGAAUUACUGGGCGUAAAGCGCGCGCAGGCGGUCUGAUAAGCCGGUUGUGAAAGCCCCGGGCUCAACCUGGGAACGGCAUCCGGAACUGUCAGGCUAGAGUGCAGGAGAGGAAGGUAGAAUUCCCGGUGUAGCGGUGAAAUGCGUAGAGAUCGGGAGGAAUACCAGUGGCGAAGGCGGCCUUCUGGACUGACACUGACGCUGAGGUGCGAAAGCGUGGGUAGCAAACAGGAUUAGAUACCCGUGUAGUC
rnacentral:rRNA from 1 species